rnacentral:misc_RNA from 1 species
AGAAAAUAUAAAUACAAAAAAUAUAACGAAGCACUACCAAUAAAUUUUGACUUUUCAAGAGCUCAAGUUUGAAGCCUUAAUAACCUCUGAUUCCAUUUUCAUGUCUUAUUUAUGCGAAAACUCGGAGUGGCAGACAGAACAAGCUGGAAUAGCUCAAAUUUCACCAUUUCUCAAGCAGAUUUUGAGUAGCUCAGAUUCAGUUUAACGUAUCAGGUGGCUUUCGUUUGUCUUCAUUUUUGCAGUGCUGAAACGUAUGCUUCUUCGUGUAGCUACAAAGCAGCAUUUAGCUCCCAGUAACUUCAUGUUUUGCCAACUCUAGCUGCUAAAUCUGAAUAAUAUUAACGGUAACAUUAACUGCUGUUUAUGUUCCUAUGAAAAGGAAUGCAACGAACUGAAUAUUGCAUGAAAAUUGAUCCUAAUUUCUGUAAACUGCUCUCAUUUGCAAAACUCUGCGGAUAAUGGUCCCCUCGACAAGAAUCAAUGGGUGCAGCUCAAAGGCUGCUGCAACUUUCAUUUAAUUCAUCAGUAGGCAUUUUCCGCCAUAACCAUCUAGUAACUAAAACAACUUCUCAUGCCACAAAUGAUAACGUAUCAGUUGUUUUACAUUUCAUUUUCCUUGUUUUCCAAUGAAUAAAACGUAUGACAAAGGAUAUAAACGAAACAUAAAUAACUGAAAAUGAGAAGCAUGCAAAAGCAAAACUGAAUCAAGUUCCUGACUUCUGCUCAAAGAAUUUCAAGUUUAAGAUCUGGAUAGCCAACCCGUGCUUUGUGUCUUUCAAAGAGGUCUUUAAGUGCUGCAACGAAUUGAUUGUGUACUUCCACAACCUCUUCCACAGUAGGCUGUGGAUUUUUCUUCAGCUCAAUUGGUCUACCCACCACAACAUGAACCGGAUGUUGGUAGGGAAAUGGAGAUCUGAAAAGGAACAAAUCAUUACAAAGUAUAAAUGAAGUAUUAAGUAGAUUCUUAUACCAAAAAAAACCUUUUUUUUAAAUUCCCACAAGAACCCUACCAAAAAAAUUCAAUAUGAAUGAUAAAAGAAAAGAAUUACAUAAUUUUAAGCUCUUUAAUAAAAGGUUUAGAUAAUUAUUUUUAAUGAAUAAUAGUUCUUCAUAAUGAAAUCUCCUAAAUCAAACAGAAAAAAAUUAGCAAAUUGCAUGGAGCAGAUUGCCAAGUUCAAAUCACAAGGUUAAUCAAGGAAAAGUAGACCUAACCACAUUGUCUUAAAAAAUUUCUCCACAUUAAUAUUUACCCGAGAAUCCCCCAGAAGAAAAUUGGGGCAAACUUAAUAGUUCUUGCAAGUUUCAUGAAUAAGUUUCCACCAGGUCUCCACCAGUUGAACACAAGUGACUGCAGCAAGAAUAAGAAAACAGUAAAAAAAAACUACCAAUUUGGGUGAUCCAAGACGUAUAAUGGCAAAAAGAGUCUUAAUUUAUGCAAUACACAGACCAAUAAACGAAAUAGUAAUAUAGCAUAUAUCAAAGUUGAUGCAAAAGCCAAUAAAUUUAUCCAUUCAAUUGCAACAUUAUUGUCAGCAUUAUAAGCAUUCAACAAUAAAGUAUAAGAAAAACAAAUUGCAUUGCAACUAGAAAAAAGAAACCUGCUUCACGUAUUGCCUACGCAAGAAAAAGAAAAAGGGAAAGAACCAAUACUUGACCAAAGCAGACAACUGGAACCAAUGGUUUGCCUGUCUCCAUAGCUAUUCGAAUAAAUCCUCUUCUCGAUUUAAGAAAAGCAAUCUGCAGAAAAAUCAAUAUGCAGGAUAAACAACCAAGCUGCUUAAUUGAUUAUGGUUAGCAAUAGCAUAUGAUAUCAGUACAUUUCAGGUCUUGGACUCGAACCUUUUAUGCCAGGAAUGUAUAGAAUGCUAGCUUUCCUUUACUAUGUAAACAGGGAUGAAACAUGUAAGGGAGAAUAGGAGAGGAGGGGGAGGGGGAGGUAGGGGGAUCAAUGAUAAGAGGAAAAAAAUAACCAGGAAAAAAAAGAGUAAUUAAAUUAAGUUAUAACCAAAACUAUAGAAAUUCCUUGGAAAAAAUGUCAUGACUCAUUGUUAAUCUUCUCCCACUAAUAAAUAUGGGAAGAAAGAGAAGCCAAAUGAGAAAAAUAUUAAACCCAGCAGGACUCAGAAAUCAAGAAUGGAAAUACUUUUAUUUCCUGCAAUCAAACAGAUUCUAGAAGUAUGUGGAAUUUUGAAAAUACACCAAUCCAAAGCAGGAAUCUAAUUAAUAACAACAUAGCCAUGCACUUGCAUGGUUAAGCAGAAAAUUAGGACACCAACAAAUCCAACACAUACACCAGUGUAGGUCAGUUGGAUCAGGCAGAAAUCCCAAGUCCAAAACUUGCCAAGCCAAGUGAAUACAACAAGAAAAAGGAAAUUAUGGAAAAAAAAGGGUUAAGUACAUAUGGAAAAAAAAAUUGUGUAAAAGAGUAAGCGAUAAGACCUCAGUUCCAUGCUUCAUAUAACAUGUCUCUUGAACUCCACCAGGCACCAAGACACAACUAUAACCAGCUUCCAGAAGGGAUGUAAAAUUUUCCUUCGUUGCAGGUGUAACACCACACCAUGUCCAUACAUGUCUCAAAAAUGGAGUGAUGAACACGGCGCUACUUGCAAGGACCUUUAUUUUAGGAAGAGGCAUUAAACCCAUACAGUCUGAAAGUAUACCGAGACCAAGAGGAAUAACUGAAUGUGGCUCAUAACCAAACACAUAAGCACGAUCAGAAUGAAAGGCAUUGAUGUCUUCAACAUGUAGAAAAAUGGGAAAAUGGCUAGCAAUAUGCUUAGAUAAAUACCUGAUUUUAGAGAAGAUGCAUAAUUAAUUAGUAAUAAUUAAAAGUUCAACAAAGAUGAGAAAAAGUAGGUACCUGGACAAGCGUCGGCCAUAGUUACUAUUUUCAUUGAUCGGAAUGAACAUAAACAGCAAUUGCAAUCCAAAAAAGAGUAGGAAUUUGGAAAAAGGAAGGAAGAGAAGAGGGAUGAAGAAUAAGAGGAAAUUGAGAUGGAUGCCGCCCAUCCAUAUUGUCAAGGCUACAAUUGAAUGGAAUAUGGAACUUGGAUUUAUUUCUCUGGAAUUGAAUGUGGUCACCUCUUGAUUAUUAUUUUCAUUAUUACUAUGAUUAUUCAUCUUCUCCACCAUCCCUACUUUUCUCUAUCAAAAGUUGCAGCAGAGCAGAGCUACUGCUCAGCGCUCAACAGCCUCUAGUACUUAACUUGC